GUUCGAUUAUGGCUCAGAUUGAACGCUGGCGGGAUGCUUUACAUGCAAGUCGGGCAGCACGGACUUCGGUCUGGUGGCGGUGAUGGGUGAGUAAUGUAUCGGAACGUGCCUAGUAGCGGGGGAUAACUACGCAGCGUAGCUAAUACCGCAUACGCCCUUCGGGGAAAGCGGGGGACCUUCGGGCCUCGCACUAUUAGAGCGGCCGAUAUCCGGAUUGGCUAGUUGGUGGAAGUACAGCAGCUCACCAAGGCGACGAUCCGUAGCUGGUUUGAGAGGACGACCAGCCACACUGGGACUGAGACACAGCCCGGAGCUCCUGCAGGCAGCAGUGGGGGAAUUUUGGACAAUGGGGAAACCUGAUCCAGCCAUCCCGCGUGUGCGAUGAAGGCCUUCCGGGUUGUAAAGCACUUUUGGCAGGAAAGAAACGGCACGGGAUAAUACCCCGUGCAACUGACCGGUACCUGCAGAAUAAGCACCGGCUAACUACGCCAGCAGCCGCGGUAAUACGUAGAAAAUUUUAAAGCGUUAAUCGGAAUUACUGGGCGUAAAGCGUGCGCAGGCGGUUCGGAAAGAAAAGAUGUGAAAUCCCAGAGCUUAACUUUGGAACUGCAUUUUUAACUACCGAGCUAGAAGAGUGUGUCAGAGGGAGGUGGAAUUCCGCGUGUAGCAGUGAAAUGCGUAGAUAUGCGGAGGAACACCGAUGGCGAAGGCAGCCUCCUGGGAUAACACUGACACUCAGCCCCCGAAAGCGUGGGAGCAGAACAGGAUUAGAUACCCUGGUAGUCCACGCCCUAAACGAUGUCAACUAGCUGUUGGGGCCUUCGGGCCUUGGUAGCGCAGCUAACGCGUGAAGUUGACCGCCUGGGGAGUACGGUCGCAAGAUUAAAACUCAAAGGAAUUGACGGGGACCCGCACAAGCGGUGGAUGAUGUGGAUUAAUUCGAUGCAACGCGAAAAGCCUUACCUACCCUUGACAUGUCUGGAAUCCGAAAGAGAUUGGGAGUGCUCGCAAGAGAACCGGAACACAGGUGCUGCAUGGCUGUCGUCAGCUCGUAUCGUGAGAUGUUGGUUAAGUCCGCAACGGAGGCGCAACCCUUGUCGUGGAUUUAUACGAAAGGGCACUCUAAUGAGACUGCCGGUGACAAACCGGAGGAAGGUGGGGAUG
rnacentral:misc_RNA from 1 species